AGCAGCCGCGGUAAUUCCGGCUCCAAUAGCGUAUAUUAAAGUUGUUGCAGUUAAAAAGCUCGUAGUUGAAUUUCGGGAUCGACGGGUCGGUCGCGCCUCUGGUGUGUACUGGCCCUGUCGGUUUCUCCCUUCUGACGAACCACGAUGUUAUUAAUUUGGUGUCGUGGGAAAUCAGGACUGUUACUUUGAAAAAAUUAGAGUGUUUAAAGCAGGCAUUCGCUUGAAUACAUUAGCAUGGAAUAAUGAAAUAGGACGUUUGAUCUUAUUUUGUUGGUUUCUAAGAUCGACGUAAUGAUUAAUAGGGAUAGUUGGGGGCAUUAGUAUUCAAUUGUCAGAGGUGAAAUUCUUGGAUUUAUUGAAGACUAACUACUGCGAAAGCAUUUGCCAAGGAUGUUUUCAUUAAUCAAGAACGAAAGUUAGGGGAUCGAAGACGAUCAGAUACCGUCGUAGUCUUAACCAUAAACUAUGCCGACUAGGGAUCGGAUGAUGUUAAUUUUUAAUGACUC
rnacentral:rRNA from 1 species